CCCGAAUAUGGAAGAGGAAGGCCAAGUCCGAUGGUGAUACUGGAUGGGUACUCAGAAAUACUAUUAAACUGCACCUUCCAUUGAAGCGAUGGGCACAUGGGUAUCCUUCAGAGAUAAUAGGAUUUGCUGAAGACUGUAAUGUGGUGUUUAUAGCAACUGGUGGUGGUGUUGUUUUCAUGGUCCAUCUUGAGUCUGCGCAGUUUAAGAAACUUCCCCAAAAACUGGGCUACCGCACAUGCUAUCCAUUCACAAGUUUCUGCGCAGCAGGGCUGGCUCUAGUGUGCUCCUCGGUGCCACCGGCCAUGAGCGAGGAGGAUCUGUUGACUCACAUAGAGGUCAUCAAGGAUCAGGAGUUGAAUCUGAUGGUUGAGGAUCGUUAAGUGGAUAGGUGGGAUCCGAUGAUCCUUGAAGCUAGUAUGCCACUCGUGCCAUCUAUGCUUGAUAGGGUCGUGGUUUGUGAAGCCUUCUUGUGUUGGUUGCCAAGAGCAAGAGUGUCUUUGGUUUUGCUCCCUCCAUUAUGCAUUUGCCUAUGGAAAUUGGCUCUCCUCUUCGUCUAGUUAACGAAACCUAAUGAAACACUUAACCUUGCACAAUGUGUUGUUGAUAGGGUCGUGGUUUGUGAAGCCUUCUUGUGUUGGUUGCCAAGAGCAAUAGUGUCUUUGGUUUUGCUCCCUCCAUUAUGCAUUUGCCUAUGGAAAUUGGCUCUCCUCUUCGUCUAGUUAACGAAACCUAAUGAAACACUUAACCUUGCACAAUGUGUUGUUGCCGUAACAAAGUAACUGUUAUGGUAGGGAUGGCACUAGAUGUAAUUAAUCUGAUGCUUGAAAGCUCAGAUAGUGUCUUGUAUGUUGAAUGCUAAAAUUGUUCUUUUAUUUGUAGGAAAGAAACUUCAAAUAGUUAUGAGUGGCACCAUUUUUUAAGUUGUUCCAUGGUGUUUGUAUCAAUAUAUGUAGCUGGAUGUUUGUAAACUAUUUCGCUCAAGGGGUGAUUGCUAUUUUCUAUACAACAAUGGCAUCAUAUUUUUUGAGCCUGUGCAACAAUGGCAUCGUAUUUUGAUGGAUGAGGAUGCUUAGGUAUUUCCAAAGUGGUUGUUGGUUAUUUCCUUCUGUAGUGGUCAUUGUUUGUCAUCGGGGUGAGAUUACUGUAACUUGAUGCUUUGAUUUAUUUCACUGGAUGCAUAGUUGUGUGCA